AGUGAACGCUGGCGGCAGGCCUAAUACAUGCAAGUCGAACGGCAGCACAGUAAGCUUUUGCCUUUACGGGUGGCGAGUGGCGGAUGGGUGAGGCAUACAUCGGCAUCUUCUUUUUCGUGGGGGACAUCGUAGGGCAACUUAUGCUAACACCGCAUAUGACCUACGGGUGAAAGCAGUGGAUCUUCGCACCUUUCGCGAUUGAUUGAGCCGAUGUCGGAUUAGCUAGUUGGCUUGGUAAAGGCCCACCAAGGCGACGAUCCGUAGCUGGUCUGAGAGGAUGAUCAGCCACACUGGAACUGAGACACGGUCCAGACUCCUACGGGAGGCAGCAGUAGGGAAUAUUGGACAAUGGGCGAAAGCCUGAUCCAGCAAUGCCGCGUGAGUGAUGAAGGCCUUCGGAUUGUAAAGCCCUGUUAUUGGGGAAGAAAAGCAGCGGAAGAAACCACCGCCGUUCUGACGGUACCCAAAGAGAAAGCACCGGCUAACUUCGUG
rnacentral:rRNA from 1 species